rnacentral:rRNA from 1 species
GUAAGAAAUAAUUAAGGGCGUAUGGGGGAUGCCUUGGCUCUUAGAGGCGAUGAAAGACGUGAUAAACUGCGAUAAGUUGCGGGGAUUGGUUGUACGAUUUGAUCCGCAAAUUUCUGAAUGGGGCAACCCACUCUACCUAUGUAGAGUAUCUCUUUGGUAUAAAAUAAGAGAGGCAAACCUGGGGAACUGAAACAUCUAAGUACCCAGAGGAAGAGAAAACAAAUAGUGAUUCCAUAAGUAGUGGUGAGCGAACGUGGAUUAGCCCAAACCAUAGCAGUUUCGGCUGUUAUGGGGUUGUAGGACUAACAAUACAAUUGAUAUCAAGAACUUAAAUUACUUUGGAAAAGUAAGCCAUAGAAGGUGAAAGCCCUGUCAAGGUAGUUGGUAUGCAUUUGGUUAGUAUCCUGAGUAGGUCAGUUCCGGUGAAAGGCUGACUGAAUUUGCCGGCACCAUCCGGUAAGGCUAAAUACUCCUAAGAGACCGAUAGUGAACAAGUACCGUGAGGGAAAGGUGAAAAGUACCGUGAAUAACGGAGUGAAAUAGUUUCUGAAACCAUACGCUUACAAGCAGUCGGAGUUUUGUUUAUAAAAUGACGGCGUGCCUUUUGUAUAAUGAGCCUACGAGUUAAUCUUUUCUGGCAAGGUAAAUCCUUUUGAAAGGAAAAGCCGAAGCGAAAGCGAGUCUGAAUAGGGCGCUUUAGUCAGAGGAGUUAGACGCGAAAGCCGGUGAUCUACCCAUGGCCAGGUUGAAGCGUUGGUAAAACAACGUGGAGGACCGAACCAGUGGAUAUUGUAACGUCCUUGGAUGAGCUGUGGGUAGGAGUGAAAGGCUAAUCAAACCGGCAGAUAGCUCGUACUCUCCGAAAUGUUUUUAGGAACAGCCUUAAGUUUAUACUGAUAGGGGUAGAGCUACCGAUAGGACUAGGGGGGUAACCUACCGUGUCCAGACGAACUCCGAAUACUAUCAGUUUUACUUAGGAGUGAGGGUUAGGGCGUUAAGGUCCUAAUCCGAGAGGGAAAGAACCCAGACCAUCGGCUAAGGUCCCCAAAUAUAUACUAAGUUGAACUAAGAAGGUUUAGUUGCUUAGACAGUCAGGAUGUUGGCUUGGAAGCAGCCAUUCAUUUGAAGAGUGCGUAACAGCUCACUGAUCGAGCGACAAAGCGUCGAUGAUGAACGGGCAUUAAGUAUAUUACCGAAGCUAUGGCCUUGCUGCUUUAGGUAGCAAGGGGUAGGAGAGCAUUCUAAUAAAGUUGAAGCUAAGUAGUGAUGCUUGGUGGAUUGAUUAGAAAAGAAAAUGUAGGCAUGAGUAACCAAAAUAAUGGUGAGAAACCAUUACACCGUAAGACUAAGGUUUCCAUGGCGAUGGUUGUCAUCCAUGGGUUAGUCGGGCCCUAAGCUGAAGCCGAACGGCGUAAGCGAUGGAAGAUCGGUUAAUAUUCCGAUACUAGUUAGCAAUAGAGAAGGGGGGACGAAGGAGUGAAAGGUUUGCCUUCUGACGAAUUUAGGAGGUUGAAGCCCGUAGAUAUAGGUAUGGCAGGCAAAUCCACCAUACCUGUCGAAGGUGAUAGUACUACAAUCCUUCGGGGGCGUAGAUAAUGACCCUAAUCAUACUUCCAAGAAAAGCCUCUAAUUGUUAGGUGCUAGCUAACCGUACCGCAAACCAACACAGGUAGUCGAGGAGAAUAUCCUAAGGUGUUCGAGUGAUUCGUGGCCAAGGAACUCGGCAAAAUAGCCCUGUAACUUCGGGAGAAAGGGUGCCUCAUUGAUCCUCCUAAGAGGGUCAAUAGGCCGCAGUGAAAAGGCCCAGGCGACUGUUUACCAAAAACACAGGACUUUGCAAAAUCGAAAGAUGAAGUAUAAGGUCUGAUACCUGCCCGGUGCUGGAAGGUUAAUAAGAGGAGUUAAGUCGUAAGAUUAAAGCUCUGAAUAGAAGCCCCAGUAAACGGCGGCCGUAACCUUGACGGUCCUAAGGUAGCGAAAUUCCUUGUCGGGUAAGUUCCGACCUGCACGAAUGGUGUAACGAUCUGGGCGCUGUCUCAGCCACGAGCUCGGUGAAAUUGGAGUGGCGGUGAAGAUACCGCCUACCCGCAAUGGGACGAAAAGACCCCAUGAACCUUUACUAUAGCUUAACAUUGAUAAUAUGUGGGUAAUGUGUAGGAUAGGUGGGAGACUACGCAAGUAGUCGUCGUUGAAAUACCACCCUUUAUCUAUGUGUUGUCUAAUCCUUCUGAAGAAGGAGACAUUGUUUGGUGGGUAGUUUGACUGGGACGGUCGCCUCCUAAAAAGUAACGGAGGCUUUCAAAGGUACCCUCAGUACGGAUGGUAAUCGUACGUAGAGUGCAAUAGCAUAAGGGUGCUUGACUGUGAGACAAACAAGUCGAGCAGAGUCGAAAGACGGAUAUAGUGAUCCGGUGGUUCCGAAUGGAAGGGCCAUCGCUAAAAGGAUAAAAGGUACUCUGGGGAUAACAGGCUGAUCUCCCCCAAGAGCUCAUAUCGACGGGGAGGUUUGGCACCUCGAUGUCGGCUCGUCACAACCUGGAGCUGAAGCACGUUCCAAGGGUUGGGCUGUUCGCCCAUUAAAGUGGCACGCGAGCUGGGUUCAGAACGUCGUGAGACAGUUCGGUUUCUAUCUAUUGCGGGCGUUAGAAGUUUGAGAGGGGCUGACCUUAGUACGAGAGGACCGGGUUGGGUAAACCUCUGGUGUAUCAGUUGUGACGUCAGUUGCACUGCUGAGUAGUUACGUUUAUAAGAGAUAAGUGCUGAAAGCAUCUAAGCACGAAACUCGCCUCAAGAUGAGACUUCAAUAAGGGUGGUUAAAGAUGAUGACCUUGAUAGGUUGCAGGUGUAAAGUCAGAAAUGGCAAAGCUGAGCAAUACUAAUUACCCGAAUGUUUCUUGCUU